AUUCUACGACUAUCAAUUAAACAAUACUUCCAUAUUCUUAUCAGUUCAUCUUCCACUUAUUUUUUUUGUGGUUUAUAUAUAUUCAAUUACUGAUCUCCAGCUUACUUAUGAUAUUCAGUUUCUCAAUUCAUCACACAGAAUUCAAUACCUUCACUUAACACAAUACAAUUCGAUAAUUUCAAUUCUCAAGGUCAUAGAAUUUCUCCAAAUUGGUCAGUCCAAAGUCAUAUUCCAUAAUAUUCUAAUCACAGUUGCAAUAAUACUUCUUUCAAUCACAAUUCUUCAUAAACAAAUAAUAAAAGUAAAAAAAACAAAGAGGUAGCAUCAAGCUUACCCUUGCUUACAACUCUCAUAGUCUGGCCUCCCGGCUUACAACUUUCACAGUUUGGCCCCUUGACUUACGACUCUCACAAUCUAGCUCUUUGGCUUACGACUCUCACAAUCUGACCCCUUGGCUUAUGACU
rnacentral:lncRNA from 1 species